rnacentral:rRNA from 1 species
CAAAAAGCGUCAAAGCUCACACCUCAAUCUCUACCAAUUUCUUACACCCCCAUCAACCCUCCACCCAUAUUGAACGACUCCAUAAAUUAUGGAAGCCACCCUGCUUGAACUAGUAAUAAGAAUCUGAAAUUCUCCUAGAUGUAAACAUAAGCCACCCAUCGGACACCCCAACGGCAAUUAAAGUAAAUAAAACUAUUGCAAUAACUACCACAAAAAACCUGCAAUAACAAACGUUAACCUAACACAAGAACAUCCCCGGAAAGAUUAAAAAAGAGAGAAGGAACUCGGCAAACCUUAAACCCCGCCUGUUUACCAAAAACAUCGCCUCCUGUUAAACUAUAAGAGGUCCAGCCUGCCCAAUGAUUAAUUAAAUGGCCGCGGUAUCCCAACCGUGCUAAGGUAGCAUAAUAACUUGUCCUUUAAUUGAGGACUCGUAUGAACGGCACCACGAGGGUUAAACUGUCUCCCCUCUUUAAUCAAUGAAACUGACCCCCCCGUGAAAAGGCGGGGAUUUUUAUACAAGACGAGAAGACCCCAUGGAGCUUUAGACCUAAAGCACACUCAACCCACAAUUUCACCAAAAUCUAGAACCCCUGACUCCAAGUCUUAGGUUGGGGCGACCAUGGAGUAUAACUCAACCUCCAUUUCGAACGGACAACAAUCCUUAUCCAAGAACCACAAUUCUAAGAAUUAAAAAACUAACGCCCACUGACCCAAAAAUUUGACCAUCGAACCAAGUUACCCUGGGGAUAACAGCGCUAUCCACCUCAAGAGCCCAUAUCGACAGGUGGGUUUACGACCUCGAUGUUGGAUCAGGGUAUCCAUGUGGUGCAGCCGCUACAUAAGGUUCGUUUGU